CGCCGCACCCGGGGCGUGCACGCGUCCCACGGCCUCCUUUCCUGCCUCGCCUCCCUCUUCUUGCGGUCGGCAGCCGAGUGGUGGGUUGUUGCGAGCCAGGGCGUGAGAGGGGCGUGUGAACCCAGUGAAACUGUUGGGAUGCGUUGCUGGGACUUUUUGUACCUUUAGGCGGGGAAAGGUCUUGCUUUAAUUUAGAAAAGCAGGACGCGGUCUUUGAAAAAGGGCCUUCGAUUCCCAAGAACCGUCCACUGACAAUACACCAUACUCGCACCUUUGCACUUUUAGUCUUGCACACCAGGGCUCUUCUGCACAUGGAAACGGAGGCUGAGUGGUGGUGAGUGGCAGCAACCCAACAUGCAUUCUUGGAGCAAACCCCAUUGAACUCUGUGGGACAAGUCUAAGGAAAUAUGCCCAGCAUCACCCAGGUUCUUGAACGGAGGGCAAGACAGAAAUGUAGCAGAUUAAAGGUAGGUAUUGGACUUGAGGUCAGGACUUGCAGGCCACUGCAACUACCUUGCCAUAGGACAUCACUGGUAAGUCUCCCACGAAGUUAUUUUCAUUGGAUUUCUACUGAUGAAAAUUUUGCCCAAGAAAAUAUCUUAACUCUGCCAGUAUGAGCUAGAUUUCUUAAAACUUUGCUGGGUCAUCAUUUAUGGGGUCAGGAAUUUGGGUCAUAAAGGACAAUUAUGUCCCAUAUAGAUGGGUUUUUAAAAAAGCUAUCCCCUGUGGCAUGUGGUUUGAUUUGCUUGCUUAUUUGCAGUUGCUUGCUCUGUAGUGCAAAGGGCAGGUUUUAUGCUCGUGUGCCUUUUAAUCCUCAUGUCUUCCUCUCCAACUUGCACUGCUAUAACUAGGUUGAUAUAACUGAGAUGAUGUGUAUUUUAUAAAAAAUGCAGAUGGCUGUUAAUCUGUCCAGGUUUCUGAAAUAAAGGUGUUAGUAAUUCUCUGCA